CAACGAUUCAUACUUAAAUAAUAGGAGACUAUCUCACCAGCUACCUCAUCAAAGUUCUGCAUCUGAAAAAUUGAGAAGAAAAAAAUGAUAGGAAUCAACCAACAUUCUGCGAACUGAGAAAGGCACAAUCAAGUUUGAAAGAGGAUCAAGAACGCUUCACAACAACUUUAAGGUCUUCAUUUCCCCAAUAUCUCCGUUGUUCCUCUUGUAUUUUUUUUGCUGAGUACAAAAGAGAUUGGUUAUGAUCAUCGAUCUCAAUCAGUUGCAGUGAUGAAAUCAAUCCAAUAUCAUACGGAAUCUCAUCCAAGUAUGGACAACGAUGAAGCGUUAGGCACUGGAGCCUCGGAAAGUGACUACAGAUAUAUCAAAUUACCAAGUUCCUCAUCAAAGGUACUUGCGUCCCUAUCUCCCGCGCUGCUACUAAAGCUUCAACACUCAGAACCACCACCUCAACUCUAGCGAUGCACGAAUAAUUACCGGUACACAGUUCAAUUCGAGAAAACUAGAAAAUAUCCCGAUUGAACAUAUAUAUGUCUAACAAAGGAUGACUAUACAUUCUAAACAUUCUGAAUUGAUGCUCUAUUUCUUUACAAUACAAAUAUACUGAUAUUAACGA